CAGCCGCCGCGGUAAAACGUAGGGUGCAAGCGUUAAUCGGAAUUACUGGGCGUAAAGCGUGCGCAGGCGGUUAUAUAAGACAGAUGUGAAAUCCCCGGGCUCAACCUGGGAACUGCAUUUGUGACUGUAUAGCUAGAGUACGGCAGAGGGGGAUGGAAUUCCGCGUGUAGCAGUGAAAUGCGUAGAUAUGCGGAGGAACACCGAUGGCGAAGGCAAUCCCCUGGGCCUGUACUGACGCUCAUGCACGAAAGCGUGGGGAGCAAACAGGAUUAGAUACCCGCGUAGUCCCUGUCUCUUAUAC
rnacentral:rRNA from 1 species